CAGUAGCCGCGGGAAUACAGAGGGUGCGAGCGUUAAUCGGAUUUACUGGGCGUAAAGCGUGCGUAGGCGGCUUCUUAAGUCGGAUGUGAAAUCCCUGAGCUUAACUUAGGAAUUGCAUUCGAUACUGGGAAGCUAGAGUAUGGGAGAGGAUGGUAGAAUUCCAGGUGUAGCGGUGAAAUGCGUAGAGAUCUGGAGGAAUACCGAUGGCGAAGGCAGCCAUCUGGCCUAAUACUGACGCUGAGGUACGAAAGCAUGGGGAGCAAACAGGAUUAGAUACCCGCGUAGUCCCUGUCUCUUAUCC
rnacentral:rRNA from 1 species